rnacentral:lncRNA from 1 species
GAAUCAGUGGUGCGUUCAGAGACAGUCGCAGGUUAUGUCAGCUUGUGUGCUGUGUCUUUAUUUUCAGGAAGUCAGCCUUUUCUCUGCCUGAACAGUGAGCUGCAUCUGAACGCUUCCCCUUCUGCACCACUGACCCUGAUGAAAGCAAUGUUCACUCCCUGCCAGCGCUGCAAUUUCCCCCAUACAACACACAGACCUACAAGCAGGACGACCAAGAGCCUGAUGACAGCUCCUUCCAGAGAGCACAGCCUCAGAUGACACGAAUGAGGGAUAGGGGCUGUUCGGCCUGCGAUGUAGUGCCGCUGUGUGACUUUCAGAGGGGUGUUGGUUGCGGCGUGUGAAUCUGAAGGGCGAGAGGGUGGAUCACGAGGGGCCUGGAUCAUCAGGACACACACACACUCCCUCUGUGACAUCCAAGAGGGUCCGCAUCGCCAAGAACUCCAACCAGUCGAUGGCCCAGCAUGCUCUGCUCUCCACACCCUCGCAGCACGCCUGAAAUCACAGCCCUCCUGCAUCGCCUCAAACUGACAAAUGACGUAAUGUGCAGAAUCAAGCACCGGCCUUCGGAUGAAAAGAAACAUGUCCGCCACUGUCCCCAUCGGAAUGGAGAGGAGGUAUUGGACAUGUGCGUGAGACGCUAGGUAUUUUUGACCUGACAUCUCCUUCUGAAAGCGGUACACACACACACACACACUAAUUAAAUACCUCUUUUUAGUUACUUAGUAGAGUGCUUGCUUUGUACAGGACUUUCCCAUUAACUUCCAUUCAUGAAG